UAACAAAAGAAAAUAAAAUGUGAAUCGGUCCUCUCCUAAUUAAACACUCUCGAACACAUCGAGACGCCCAAAAUCGGUUCUCUCUAGAAAUCGGUCCUGACAAAAGAAAUCCCAAAUCGAAAUCCCUCAAAUCUUCUCGUUUGAAAUCGGUCCUCUCUUCUGCUAAAAUCUCACCCAAAUCGAAAUCCCUCAAAUCAAAAUGUGAAUCCCUAAUCUUCUCCUUUGAGUUGUCUCUAUUGACUCAAAGCUUCUUCAACUUCACGCACUCAAGAACUUGUACACAGCUGGGGAAGUCGGCAAAGGGCAAGAAAAUAUAGAAGUGAAAUUUUAACAACUCAGGAAAUGAGAGGAAUUGGACGAGGAAAACGUGGGAGAGGCGGGGCGAGCUGUGGUCAUGAAAAUUUUCAAGGACGUGGCAAUUUUGGAGUGACAUCUCAGCCACACAUACAAAUCGGACGUGUAUCUGAUGCAUCUGUAGAGAUAGACAACCAAGUAACCCGGGUCAAAGACCUUUACAGACCGGACGAGUAUCUACUAACUCUCUCCAAAUAUCUUCUUUAGAAACACAAUUAUCACGAAAUGUAGCAGAAACUGUGCAUUGCUCUCCAGAGGCUGAAAAUUGUGCAAUUUCUUCCAGCAAUAAAAAAAGAGGAAGAGGAAAAUACAAAUCUAAAAGUUUAGAAGUAAAAACUAAGUGUGGUGGCAAAAUCAAAAUUAUGAUUCCAGAUGACAUUGAUAGAGCAUUAGGUUCUGGGGCUACAGAUAUUGUUAAUUACUGUGGUUUGAUCAUGAGGAGCACUAUCUCGUUCCAAGAUGGAAAUUGGCAGAAAAUAGUUUUAAAACACGGAGAAGUAAUAUGGUUAAAGGUCAAGGAUAAAUUUGAAGUUUGCAGCGGGUUGCGAGAGCAUAGGUUUCAGGCCUUUGUAAUUAGCACUAUGCAAAGGCUUUUUAGGGCAUGGAAAGCUCGACUCAGCAUUCUGUACUCUAAGUACAGUACUAAUGAAGAAAGAUUGUCUCAUCGACCUGAAGAUGUUGAGCUUGAGGACUGGGAAUACCUAAUACAAUAUUUUGGAAGUCCGGAAGUUAAGAGAAAUAUUGGACACACCAUAUAAAGUUUGGGAGAUCCAAUAUACACGCAAGGAUGAUAGAGGAGAACUGGUGUGGUUGGUUUCACAAUCCCAACAAAUUCAUGGUCAACUCCAGGAAGUUGUCGCUCAGUAACAAUCUGAGGAGAUCGAGCAUCCCAUGACUAGAGAUGAGAUUUUAUCCUCCGUUGUUGGUGAGAGAACAUGCUAUGUUCAUGGAAAAGGAUAUAGAAAGAAGCCUCCUAAAAAGAGUAACAUUCAGGCAAACAUAGAGGCCAGCGUGUCUUCUGCUAUUGAUAUUGUGCGUCAAGAGAUGCAAGCCGAGAUGGAUAGAAAGUUAUAAGAAGAAUGUGAACAAAUGGCUGCUGAGUUGCGAAGAAAUAUGGAAAUUGAGUUGGAAAGGAAGUUGGCAGAGGAGCGUCAACACGCAAGUGCAGAAGCAGACGAGGAUUUCUCUAGAAGUGGAGAAGAUGAUGCAAGAACAAUUUGCUAGUUUUUUGACCAGAAUGCAACAACAGCAGGGACAAGACACUUAAACAAUGGUUCAAGGAUGGUGUCGAGCAAGGAGCAGUUACAAGGCACUUAAACAGUGGUUGGUGUCGAGCAAGGAGCAGUUACAAGACACUUAAUAUUUUAUCUUUUUUGGAAUAUGUAAAUGCGUACAAUUACAAUGCACAAUGAAGUGUCGGAUAGUAUAUAUGUAAUUGACUUUUUAGUAAUGAUAAUAUUUAUAAUAUUUGGCUUGAGAAAUU